rnacentral:lncRNA from 1 species
GGGAUCCCAGGUACCCUUCUGCUUUAAAAAGAGAGGUGGCCCAAGACAAUUAAGGCCCUCGUGCCAUUCCUCUGGAGUUGUAUAAUCAUUUGCCAGCCUGAACUGAAAGGUGUGCUGCUGUCUGCGUGCCAUGGGAAGCUGCAUGGAAAAGCAUUGUCUCCAAGGAUGCCUUCUGUACCUUCACACCCGUUAAGCAGUGCCUCCCCCUCUGUUGGUAUUGCUGGCCCAGCUGCCAGGCCUGGCUUUGUGUCUGGGGCUGUAGAAGUGUCUCAGCUGUUCCUAUUCCUGUCUGCAGUGGCACUGGUGGUGAGGUGCUGUGAGCAGAAUAGUAGCAGCAGGUCUGAAGAGACUGGAUGUGAUUGUAUGGUGAGCACAAUAGAAUAACUUGGCUGCACAAAUUACAGAUGAUGUUUUGAAAAGAACAAGAACUGUGUUAAUCUAGAAGAAAAUGAAGUGAGUGCUUGCUGAAUAUUGUCUUGACCGUCCUUUAGGAUGGACAACUGGCAGACGUGGCACAGUGCAAACUGCCUUAUGGUGUCCCAUCAGGUCAGACAGGUAACGCACGCUUCAACUUCUGUGUGUACCACAGCUGAAGCCCACUAACAUAACUUCAUUUGCCUCAUCCUAAACUUCUGUCGUUGCUUUAGAUUUUAU